CUCCACAUUCAGUACAGGGUUACAGAGUGUUCGGCUAUAUGCAGCUUAGGGUGACGACUAUUCCCUCUGUUUGUUCGCCGCCGUUAUUGCCGUUUCCACUGCUGCUUCCUCGAACUUCCGGGGGGAGGGGACUUCCAAGAGUGCGUGACAUAUGGUGCGUAACUUGCGUGAUGACGCGUUUCGCCGUGUUCAUGGCUUCAUCAGAUCU